rnacentral:rRNA from 1 species
UACGAAGGGGGCGAGCGUUGUUCGGAUUUACUGGGCGUAAAGGGCGCGCAGGCGGUGAGGUAAGUCGGAUGUGAAAUCCCGGGGCUCAACCCCGGAACUGCAUUCGAUACUGCUUUACUUGAGGACUGGAGAGGAGAUUGGAAUUCACGGUGUAGCAGUGAAAUGCGUAGAUAUCGUGAGGAAGACCAGUGGCGAAGGCGAAUCUCUGGACAGAUCCUGACGCUGAGGCACGAAGGCUAGGGGAGCAAACGGG